UGUUGUUUGAUCGGAGUCGCGUUUCGGAGAUCUUACGCAGUCGAAUUUGACGUAUCCGACUCGUUUUCGUGUUUUGGAUCAUAAUCAGAUGAAUUGGGAUUGCAAUUAGGGUUUCUUAGGAUUCUUGUGAUAUUGAUUUAAAUUAGUGAUGUUUUGUGUGAAUGAACAGGUUAUAUUAAGCUUUCAUUUCAAGUGCCUUUUGAGAUAUGGAACAAGAUUACAUCUGCUCAGGCUGCUACAAGUUUCGGGUUUCUUCGUUGCAAGAAGCACUCGAUUUGCGGUUUCUUGCGCUC
rnacentral:lncRNA from 1 species